GACCAAUGCUGGCGGCGUGCUUAACACAUGCAAGUCGAACGAAGAGCGAUGGAAGCUUGCUUCUAUCAAUCUUAGUGGCGAACGGGUGAGUAACGCGUAAUCAACCUGCCCUUCAGAGGGGGACAACAGUUGGAAACGACUGCUAAUACCGCAUACGAUCUAAUCUCGGCAUCGAGGAUAGAUGAAAGGUGGCCUCUACAUGUAAGCUAUCACUGAAGGAGGGGAUUGCGUCUGAUUAGCUAGUUGGAGGGGUAACGGCCCACCAAGGCGAUGAUCAGUAGCCGGUCUGAGAGGAUGAACGGCCACAUUGGGACUGAGACACGGCCCAGACUCCUACGGGAGGCAGCAGUGGGGAAUCUUCCGCAAUGGACGAAAGUCUGACGGAGCAACGCCGCGUGAGUGAUGACGGCCUUCGGGUUGUAAAGCUCUGUUAAUCGGGACGAAAGGCCUUCUUGCGAAUAGUGAGAAGGAUUGACGGUACCGGAAUAGAAAGCCACGGCUAACUACGUG
rnacentral:rRNA from 1 species